GAUAACUGUGGUAAUUCUAGAGCUAAUACAUGCAAACCAGAGUUCCGACCAGAGAUGGAAGGAACGCAUUUAUUAGAUCAAAACCAAUCGGUGGCGGCCGGCUUGUCCGGACGACCAUCGUUUGCUUUGGUGACUCUGAAUAACUUUGUGCUGAUCGCACGGUCUCUUAGCGCCGGCGACGCAUCUUUCAAAUGUCUGCCUUAUCAACUGUCGAUGGUAGGUUCUGCGCCUACCAUGGUUGUAACGGGUAACGGGGAAUCAGGGUUCGAUUCCGGAGAGGGAGCCUGAGAAACGGCUACCACAUCCAAGGAAGGCAGCAGGCGCGCAAAUUACCCACUCCCGGCACGGGGAGGUAGUGACGAAAAAUAACGAUACGGGACUCAUCCGAGGCCCCGUAAUCGGAAUGAGUACACUUUAAAUCCUUUAACGAGGAUCAAUUGGAGGGCAAGUCUGGUGCCAGCAGCCGCGGUAAUUCCAGCUCCAAUAGCGUAUAUUAAAGUUGUUGCGGUUAAAAAGCUCGUAGUUGAAUCUGUGUACCACAGUGUCGGUUCACCGCUCGCGGUGCUUAACUGGCAUUAUGUGGUACGUCCUACCGGUGGACUUAGCUCUUCACGGGGCGGUCCAACUAAUAUCCCAUCGCGGUGCUCUUCACUGAGUGUCGAGAUGGGCCGGUACGUUUACUUUGAACAAAUUAGAGUGCUCAAAGCAGGCUACCUUCGCCUGAAUACUGCGUGCAUGGAAUAAUGGAAUAGGACCUCGGUUCUAUUUUGUUGGUUUUCGGAACCCCGAGGUAAUGAU
rnacentral:rRNA from 1 species